rnacentral:piRNA from 1 species
UUGGCUUGUGUCCUGACCAUUCCAAACUGC